rnacentral:rRNA from 1 species
GGACUACUGGGGUAUCUAAUCCUGUUUGCUCCCCACGCUUUCGUGCAUGAGCGUCAGUGUUAUCCCAGGGGGCUGCCUUCGCCAUCGGUAUUCCUCCACAUCUCUACGCAUUUCACUGCUACACGUGGAAUUCUACCCCCCUCUGACACACUCUAGCCGUGCAGUCACCAGUGCAAUUCCCAAGUUAAGCUCGGGGAUUUCACACCGGUCUUGCACAACCGCCUGCGCACGCUUUACGCCCAGUAAUUCCGAUUAACGCUUGGACCCUACGUAUUACCGCGGCUGCUGGCAC